rnacentral:rRNA from 1 species
UACGUAGGUGGCAAGCGUUGUCCGGAAUUACUGGGUGUAAAGCGCGCGUAGGCGGUAGGCCAAGUCUGCUGUGAAAUCGCCCGGCUCAACUGGGCGCAGUCGGUGGAAACUGGUCAACUGGAGGACGGUAGAGGCGAGUGGAAUUCCCGGUGUAGUGGUGAAAUGCGUAGAGAUCGGGAGGAACACCAGUGGCGAAGGCGGCUCGCUGGGGCCGGACCUGACGCUGAGGCGCGAAAAGCGUGGGGGAGCAAAACAGGAUUGAG